rnacentral:rRNA from 1 species
AUUGAACGCUGGCGGCAGGCCUAACACAUGCAAGUCGAGCGGAUGAAGGGAGCUUGCUCCUGGAUUCAGCGGCGGACGGGUGAGUAAUGCCUAGGAAUCUGCCUGGUAGUGGGGGAUAACGUCCGGAAACGGGCGCUAAUACCGCAUACGUCCUGAGGGAGAAAGUGGGGGAUCUUCGGACCUCACGCUCUCAGAUGAGCCUAGGUCGGAUUAGCUAGUUGGCGGGGUAAAGGCCUACCAAGGCGACGAUCCGUAACUGGUCUGAGAGGAUGAUCAGUCACACUGGAACUGAGACACGGUCCAGACUCCUACGGGAGGCAGCAGUGGGGAAUAUUGGACAAUGGGCGAAAGCCUGAUCCAGCCAUGCCGCGUGGGUGAAGAAGGUCUUCGGGUUGUAAAGCACUUUAAGUUGGGAAGAAGGGCAGUAAGUUAAUACCUUGCUGUUUUGACGGUACCAACAGAAUAAGCACCGGCUAACUUCGUG